GAUGAACGCUGACAGAAUGCUUAACACAUGCAAGUCAACUGUGGCGGACGGGUGAGUAACGCGUAAAGAACUUGCCUCACAGCUAGGGACAACAUUUGGAAACGAAUGCUAAUACCUGAUACUGUGAGAGAGCUUUGCGACCCAUUAGCUAGUUGGAGAGGUAACGGCUAACCAAGGCGAUGAUGGGUAGCCGGCCUGAGAGGGUGAUCGGCCAGAAGGGGACUGAGACACAGCCCUUACUCCAUCGGGAGGCAGGAGGCAGGAAUAAUGGACGAAGGACCACGGUCUGAUCCAGCAAUUCUGUGUGCACGAUGAAGUUUUCGGAAUAUAAAGUGCUUUCAGUUUGGGAGCGGUACCAUCAGAAAAAGUUACGGCUAAAUACGUGCCAGCAGCCGCGGUAAUAC
rnacentral:rRNA from 1 species